rnacentral:misc_RNA from 1 species
GAUGAAGAACGUAGCGAAAUGCGAUACGUAAUGUGAAUUGCAGAAUUCAGUGAAUCAUCGAGUCUUUGAACCCACAUUGCGCCCCCUGGUAUUCCGGGGGGCAUGCCUGUCCGAGCGUCAUUGCUGCCCUCAAGCACGGCUUGUGUGUUGGGCCCCGCCCCCCGGCUCCCGGGGGGCGGGCCCGAAAGGCAGCGGCGGCACCGCGUCCGGUCCUCGAGCGUAUGGGGCUUCGUCACCCGCUCCGUAGGCCCGGCCGGCGCCCGCCGGCGACCCCCCUCAAUCUUUUCAGGUUGACCUCGGAUCAGGUAGGGAUACCCGCUGAACUUAAGCAUAUCAAUAAGCGGAGGA